CACAUUGUCUUCAGGUUGUUAGUUGUAAUUUUCAGCCAGAUGGGGAAAAAACCUCAAUGAUAUUCACAAUGAAUUGCCACCAAACCAAGGUCUUGGGGUAACCAGGACUCCUUCAUUAUGUGUAUUUCUUUGACAAGUUGAAUAUUAACCUUCAUUCCCUUCUGAGCCUUGUUUUCUUGCUGAAGGAACUGGAAUCCGGACUAUCAAGCUCUUUGGAGUGAAUUAGAGACUUUAAUGAGGUUCAGUUGAGGAUUUAAGAAGGUGGCUGGCCUUAGCACAAGUCCAAGAUCCCACUUUUGCCUCCUUGCGACUCAGAAUUCAUAAACUUUAAAAAUGGGAUCUUCAAAGACACCUGAAAGCAGGUGAGGUUUGAGAAUCCAGUUUGGACCAACCUCUAGGAUUUAGACUGGAAAUGGAAUCAUGAUCAUUUUCAAACAAAAACAAAGAACUGGGUAUGUAGUUCCUCAAACAGAUUUGCUCAGACCCAAGAAUAUUGAUGGAAAACUAUCAGAGAUAACAGCAAGGAAGCUACCUGAAAGUAAAAAAGGAACAUUACAAGAAGACAGGAGUUCGCUUUGACUAUGACUAGAAUCAAAAGACUGUUUCAGUAUAAUACCAAGGAGGGAGAGGUACUCUGGGUCCACGCACAGGAGGAAACCUCUGGUGGAGUGGGAGUGUAUUCAUGGAAGUCUGGAUCCUGGUUCCUGUGAGAGCAGCCAGCUCUGCGACAAACUGAACUUUCAGGGGAAAAGUUACUUUAUUAAAGAGGAAAGGUAACUAUUCAAUGUAGACCCAGGUUCAUGUUUUAUCAUGUUUUGUACUGGAACCAUUUGUUCCCAUCACUCUCUUGUUUCUCAUGAACUUUUCAUUGUUACUUAAAUAA